rnacentral:rRNA from 1 species
AGUGAACGCUGGCGGUAGGCCUAACACAUGCAAGUCGAACGGCAGCACAGUAAGAGCUUGCUCUUACGGGUGGCGAGUGGCGGACGGGUGAGGAAUACAUCGGAAUCUACUUUUUCGUGGGGGAUAACGUGGGGAAACUUACGCUAAUACCGCAUACGACCUACGGGUGAAAGCAGGGGAUCUUCGGACCUUGCGCGAUUGAAUGAGCCGAUGUCGGAUUAGCUAGUUGGCGGGGUAAAGGCCCACCAAGGCGACGAUCCGUAGCUGGUCUGAGAGGAUGAUCAGCCACACUGGAACUGAGACACGGUCCAGACUCCUACGGGAGGCAGCAGUGGGGAAUAUUGGACAAUGGGCGCAAGCCUGAUCCAGCCAUGCCGCGUGGGUGAAGAAGGCCUUCGGAUUGUAAAGCCCUUUUGUUGGGAAAGAAAAGCAGCAGGUUAAUACCCCGCUGUUCUGACGGUACCCAAAGAAUAAGCACCGGCUAACUUCGUG